GGAAGGUCAGCGUCUACGUCUUCUCCAUCCCAUGUAGCAAUGCACAUGUCUUCUCAAUGAUGACCUCAGCAGGGAGAAAUGAGAGAAAUCGUCUGGAUGUGGACCGUGUCGAGGCAGAGCUGCAAAUUUGUGUCAACUUCACAUUUGAGUGCACAGACAUGUAGCGGAGAUUCCUUGCAAUCAAAACCAGCCCUUGGAAGCAGCCAGGAAAGGGCAUACGUAUCACAAAUAGACAUGUGCUUCCUCAUCAGCAUUCAGUCCUCCUCCCUCCUGCCACCUCCGCUGGUGACCACCGGUGUGUGUUGCUGACAUUUUCUGGCAGCCCGAGGACAAAAACCACACAUCUCCCUGCUCUGUCACCCCACCGCUAGGGAAAAAGACAAGUAUCCUCUGGCUGCAGCUAUGUGUGCCGUUUGUCUUCCAAACAAACCGCGAGGCUAUUUCAGAGAUGGCGGCCAUCCCAGUUGUAAAUGACUUUGGAGUGGAGUCAAGGGUGAGUGUGUGCAUCUGUGACUACAUGUGUGGUUAAAGUAGACUGGGGACAAUGUCUAUGCAUCG